UGUGGCUGUUACUUGUGUCUCUUUCCUGGUGGCUGCAGGUUCAAAUUUAACAGACCCUGCAUAAAAACUGAAAAGAGUCUGCAACCAGGUUCAUUAACUAGCUGAGUACCCUUAAAGGCGUAUGCGUUUAUGCUUGGUUUUACCAUCCUACAACCAUUCUGGGUGAAUUAUCCAUCUCUAUUAAAAGUUGGUCCUAUAUAUAUGGGCUAUGGAUGUUUUAUAUCCAUGAAGGCCUUUGUUCCUUCCUUUUUUUUGUGAUACCAUACAGAAACCCCUGAUGAAGUCGUUCUGACGAAACGCGUUGGGUCGAAUCCGUUACGGUCUCUCAUCUAGUUCAUUAAUACACCCUACAGAAUAUACACCUAUAAGGGUGAGGGUGUUCUUUAAAGGCUUGAACAGAAAACCUAUUGACUGUAUCUGGAUGGUUUUUUUUUUAAGAAUGUUUAUAUGAAUGUAUGGAACCUUUUAUCUGUAAAAAAAUGUUCAUAUGAAUUUAUGGAAUUCUAUGUUUUUUAAUAAAAACAAAUUGGUAUCAUAUCUAA